GGACCUGACUGCUAUCGGAUUGAUACUAAGCCAUGCGAGUCAUUGUAGCAAUGCAAGGCAUACGGCUCAGUAACGCGUAGUCAACCUAACCUAUGGACGGGAAUAACCUCGGGAAACUGAGAAUAAUGCCCGAUAGAACAUUAUACCUGGAAUGGUUUAUGUUCCAAAUGAUUUAUCGCCGUAGGAUGGGACUGCGGCCUAUCAGUUUGUUGGUGAGGUAAUGGCCCACCAAGACUAUUACAGGUACGGGCUCUGAGAGGAGUAGCCCGGAGAUGGGUACUGAGACACGGACCCAGGCCCUAUGGGGCGCAGCAGGCGAGAAAACUUUGCAAUGUGCGAAAGCACGACAAGGUUAAUCCGAGUGAUUUCUGCUAAAGAAAUCUUUUGUUAGUCCUAGAAACACUAACGAAUAAGGGGUGGGCAAGUUCUGGUGU
rnacentral:rRNA from 1 species